rnacentral:lncRNA from 1 species
AUGCUGGUAGCUGUGUAAUUAGGCAAGUUCUUCUCUGCUAUUUUAAGAAAAAGACUUCAUAGAAAAGUAAACAGCCCUGGGACAAAGAACAGACUACGGGUAUUGCCUUCUUAAUCAACAAUAAAGUAUUAGUUGGCUUCCAGGCAGACACCACUGACUUUCAAGAGAAAGGCACGGGAGUAAGGAAGUAAAGAAUUCAGGGCAAACGUCGAGCUUUCCUCUGGGCUCCAAUGUAAAAGAAGUGGAUAGCGGCUGACUAGUGUACAUAUUAUGUAUGCAGACUUUGAAGGAAUCCCCCUUGUUUUUAGCUGUUCUUCCAUUGCUCCUGGAGACUCUGAGCUCAGAGAUUUUCUAGGCUCUGAUGGGCAGAGUGGCUCGUUUCCUCCCUGAAGUUUCCUUCAUGCCACAUUCUGGAUUACAACCUCCUCCAAAGAGUGUCAUCUGUCAAUAUAAUGUCAUCUCUUGAUUUCUCUGUUUUCUUUUCUUCACUAUAAUAGGUAAUUCUAUGUUUUAGCAGAGCUAAAUACAUCGCCUUCAUCUUCAAU